CCUCAACCACUUGUGCUUCAACGAGGGACCCACUUGAUGCGAAAACACCAUGGAUUUUUCUACAUUUUUAUUCCUCUUUUUUCUUCCAUUUGCUAAUUUCUUCUCUAAUUUUUGGGUAUGAGCUGUUGUCCGCUUUUUGACCUUAUCACACACAAGUUG